CAAACACCGCCUUAAUCACAGAAAUCCCUCAUAUGGUUCUCUAUAAAAAGAGAGUAGAGUUGUCUUCCUCUCCUCCAUGUACACAGACCCUUGGCUCAGUAUUAGGAGAAGUAAGCAAAAAAGAGUGGAAGAAUGAAGACUGUAGUAGUGGUUGCUCUAGUCCUGAUGAUGGUUGGAUCCUCCUUUGCUGGGAACAAGAAAGAUUCGGUUGUUGAUGAAGCUGAGAAAUGGAGCAGCCGCCACCUUGUCGAAAACCAGCAGGAAAUUUUUAAUAAGAAUCACGACAACGAUAAUUGCUGCGACCACCAUUCCAUUCCCAGGAAUAAAUAUGGUGGCGGUGGUGUUGAUAAUAAUGGAGGUGGCAAAGUUUAAUAUAUCUUAAUCAUAAUUAAGCUCUAUAAUAAAGUUUUUCUUCUUCUUCUUCUUCCUUGGAAUGAUAAGGCUUGCUAGUUCUUGCGAGCUCUAAUAUCCAUGGCUGAGCAGCAGCCAUCUAUAGUUUCAGCACUAGAAUAAUGUUUGGGUACUUAAUUCAAAGCUCAAGCUUUAGUCUGUGUAUAUAUUUGAUGUAAUCAUCUCAUAUGAAUAAAUAAAAUCUUAAUUAAUGUUUAAUAUUAA